AAGAGAGAGGGACACACACACACACACAGCACAGCCAUGAGAAGCACAAGCGCCAACAAUUGAUUCCAUGGUCCUCCAUGCCAAGCCCUGCCUCCCUUACAGGUCCCUCAAUGACCAUCCCUGAUGGUCGCACCCAGGGUUGUUACACUGCAUCUGCUGCCGCCCCAGCUGUUAAUGGGGAUGCCUCGGUUGGUCAGGUGUUUGUUUAUUUAUUUGUUUGUUUGUUUGUUUUUUCUUGCACCUGCUGCUGGUGGUGAUGGUUGUCUUAUGGCUGAUGCUGUUUCUGAUGCUGCUCCUCUUCCUGCUGCUGUUGCUGCUACUGGGUGUGCUGGUCCUUUAUGAGGGUCGUGGAAAGAACAGGAGCUGAAGCACCCCAGCCCCUGCCUGGGAGCAGGCUGCAGGACCCAUGCCUGCCGUGCAUCCCCAAUCCUCAGCUGCUCUCUGGCAUCCAUCCCCUCAUGCCUUCCAUCCAUCACAGUUUGGCUGGCUCCUGCACAUUCUCAAAUGACUGGCUAGCGUGAGAUGCACACUGGGCACCCAUGCAACUUGGCACCUGUCUUUUGAACUUCAGGAAAUAGUCCCAGGGGGUUUGACCAUGGCUUGUUUCUCAGCUCCAGCUGAGCACCAUCAAUGAUUUGUCCGUGCACGGUCGGGCGAGGUCUUACCUUGGUGGAUCCGCUCUCCUGCUCAUUACUCACGGAUGAUUCUCCAGCCCUGGCUGAUCUGGACCACAGAUUCUUGGCUCAGAACCCCAAAUGGCUUCAGCAGAGUCUAUCAGGGACUCCCAAGAUGCCCUCUGAGUGUCUGGGGUGGGGGCAGUUGGGAUCGAUAUAAAAACAACUUAGUGAG
rnacentral:lncRNA from 1 species